GAUUUAGAUUCAACACAAUACUCAUAGAAAUCCCCAUAACUUUUUGUUAAAGAAACAAAAAACAGGCCAGUCACGGUGGCUCACGCCCAUAAUCUCAGCACUUCGGGAGGUAGAGGUGGGUGAAUCAUAAGAUCAGAAAAUCGAGACCAUCCAGGCUAACACAGCGAAACCCAGUCUCUACUAAAAAUACAAAAAAUUAUCCAGGUGUGGUGGCAUGCACCUGUAGUCCCAGCUAGUCAGGAGACUGAGGCAGGAGGAUCGCUUGAACCUGGGAGGCGGAGGUUGUAGUGAGUCAAGAUCAUGCCACUGCACUCCAACCUGGAUGACAGAGCAAGAGACUCCAUCUCAAAAACAAAAACAAAAAAAAGAAAAAAGAAAGAAAGAAUAGAAAUGAAAACACAGGCUGGGAAAAGUGGCUCCCGUCUGUUGGCCAGGCUGUUCUCAAACUCUUAACCUCCAGUGACCUACCAGUCUUGGCCUCUCAAAGUGCUGGCAUUGCAGGCGUGAGCCACAGUGCCCAGCCCAGUCCUCUUAACAUAAACAGUUUAAUGUCAAUUAAUGCUUAAACUCAAUGUUAAGUCAACUCAAACUCAGGUCAGUGCUCAUUUAACUGUAAUGUCAAUUAAUGCUUGAUGGCUUGCUAUACUAAUGGCAUUUGAAACAACUGUCUCCAAAAGGAAUUGUCUGAUGGUCUGCAAGGAGUGAUCUCGGACUGAAGACCUUACCACACUGAUGACAUUUGUAAGAUUUCUGUCCAGCAUGGAUUCUCUGAUGUCUAUUGAGGUGUGAAUGUGAAGUAAACGCUUUGCCACAAUCAUCACACUUGUGAGUUUCUCUCCUGUAUGAAUUCUAUGUUUUGCAUAGGAUGAAGCUUGACUGAAG
rnacentral:lncRNA from 1 species